rnacentral:rRNA from 1 species
CUCUGGGUCCACCUCCCACCCGUGUUUAUUUACCUUGUUGCUUCGGCGAGCCUGCCUUUUGGCUGCCGGGGGACGUCAGUCCCCGGGUCCGUGCUCGCCGGAGACACCUUAGAACUCUGUCUGAAGAUUGUAGUCUGAGAUUAAAUAUAAAUUAUUUAAAACUUUCAACAACGGAUCUCUUGGUUCCGGCAUCGAUGAAGAACGCAGCGAAAUGCGAUACGUAAUGUGAAUUGCAGAAUUCAGUGAAUCAUCGAGUCUUUGAACGCACAUUGCGCCCUCUGGUAUUCCGGAGGGCAUGCCUGUCCGAGCGUCAUUGCUGCCCUCAAGCACGGCUUGUGUGUUGGGCCCCGUCCUCCUUCCGGGGGACGGGUCCGAAAGGCAGCGGCGGCACCGCGUCCGGUCCUCAAGCGUAUGGGGCUUUGUCACUCGCUUUGUAGGCCUGGCCGGCGCUUGCCGAUCAACCAAACUUUUUAUCAGGUUGACCUCGGAUCAGGUAGGGAUACCCGCUGAACUUAAGCAUAUCAAUAAGCGGAGGAAAAG